ensembl:snRNA U6 U6 spliceosomal RNA
GUGCUCACUUCAGUAGCACAUAUACUAAAAUUGGAACAAUACAGAGAAGAUUAGCAUGACCCCUGUGCAAGGUUGACAUGCAAAUUUAUGGAGUGUUCCAUACUUUA